AUGGCGAGCUUGGUCAACAAGGGCAAUGUCCGAGUCAUGAGCCGGCGCCUCGUUUCGGCCUCCGACUCUUCCAUCAAGGAGCACGUCCUUGGCGUGUCCAACAUUGACCUUCUCCAUGGUGCCUUCCCGGUGUCACUGGUGUGCAUAUACCCGAGGCCUCCAGCCGGCGGCUUCCACGCCGUCGUUGCGGCCUUCGAGUCCGGGUUGCCGUCCUUGCUCAACCACUAUUUUCCCCAUGCUGGGCGCAUCGUGGCUAAUCCCCGCACAGGCCUCCCCGAGAUCCUUUGCAACAACCAAGGUGCGGAGCUCAUCAUCGGCGUGGCCGACGUCGCAAUGGCGGACCUGGACUUUAGCAGCAUGGACUUGUCGGUAAGCAAGAUCCCGCUGCCGUACGGAGGCGACGUCCCGCUGUCGGUGCAGCUGGUGUCGUUCGCGUGCGGUGGCUUCUCUGUGGCGUGGGGCCACAACCACCUGCUCGGCGACGGCCCCACGCUGCUCGGGCUCGUCGGCGGGUUGUCGGAGCUCGCGCGGACAGGCAGGCUCGCCCCGGGAGCCCGGUCGACCCAUGACCGCUCCCUGUUUCGCCCGAGCUCCACGCCGUGGAGACCAAGGAGGAGCUCCUCACUCGCCGCGUUCAAGCCGUUGACGUCUGAUCGCAUGGUCAACGUCCUGACGAGCGAGGCAAGCUCCGUCCAUCGCUUGUACUACCUCGAGGCGCAGGCCAUCUCCCGGCUCCGAGGGAUGGCGAACCAGGACGGAGACGGCCGCCGCGCUACGCGGGUACAGGCGGUGUCCGCGUACAUGUGGAAGACCCUAGCCGCCGUGGUUGGGGCGGCUGACACGCGCUGCCGCAUGGGCUGGUGGGUGGACGGGCGGCGUCGACUCACGGCACCAGAGCACCGCGCCCUCGCGACGACCAGCUAUGUUGGCAACGCGUCCAUAUUCGUACUAGGAGAGGACGGCGUGGAGGAGAUCCAGCGGAUGCCUCUGCCGGAGGUGGCGUCCAUGGUGCGCCAACUAAUUGAUGCCCCGGGGUACGGCGACCGCUUCCAGGAGGUGGAGCAGCACAAGUCUGGGGCCACCUACAUGGACGCGUCCAACAUCGGGCUGGGCUGCCCGACGGUGGCUGUGACGGCCAUGACCUCGUUCCCCAUGGACAUGGACUUGGGCUUCGGCCACGCGGCGAUGGCGAUGACCACAACGCGCGGCACGGGGCUAUGCUCAGGGUUCGUACAGAUGGCGGCUACGCCUGGAGGCGACGGGGCCUGGAUUGUCAGUGCAAGCGUGUGGCCGAAGCUCGCCGCCGCGCUGGAGUCCGACGAGCUGCGCAUUUUUACGCGAGUCACAGCCGAGCACCUUGGUCUCAAGCUCAACGAAACAAUCGUUAAGGACAACGGCAGCCCGCGUAGCCGGUUCUAG
rnacentral:rRNA from 1 species